GCUCUUUCCCUGAGACCUAAACUUGUGACUUAAAAUGGCCUUCUUCAAAGCCACCUUGUUCACAGGUUUGGCUCUCUGGGUGAUGG
rnacentral:pre_miRNA from 8 species